GGCCCUUGAGCUCAGUGGUCAGAGCGAGCAGCUCAUAACCGCCAGGUCGCCGGUUCAAGCCCGGCAGGGGCCACCA
rnacentral:tRNA from 4 species